GGCCGUGUAGCUCAAUGGUAGAGCGUCUGACUACGUAGCGCAUUAUUCUUAAAGUAUCCUUAUCCCGUAGUCAGAGGGUAGCGGGUUCGAUUCCUGCCAUGGCUA
rfam:Metarhizium robertsii ARSEF 23 MAA_Scf_24, whole genome shotgun sequence.